CCAACAUCUGCCUCUGAUGUCAUGGGCCAACAGAGCAGCCCUGAAUACCAGCUGACACCGAGGUUGAACCAAAAGCUCAAAAUGUCUCUAUGAAUACCAAGACUUGAGAGUAGAUCUCCGUUCUCGCACAGAAGCAAGCUUCUCAUUUCACUUCAGUUUCCAGAAUAGAAGUCCAUGCAAAAGCUUACAACCUAAACCAUAACACAGCCGUGGGACAGCCAUGGCCAUCUGCAGCAUUUGAGCAGCAUGACAGCAGGAGCCAGGCAGACAGACAGCGCUAGCACCUCAGUGUGGACGAUCAUAGAAACACGACGCUGUAUGCACCUACUCUCCUGCUGCUUGUGGCCUAGGAGUGCUGGAGACCUGCAUGGAUUCCCUCUCUAACAACCUGGUAAUCCCUACUUGAAAGGAACCACUGCAAACAAACAGAUUUUCCCAGUACAGAUACUUUUCCUAAUACAGAAACUAUUCAGCUGUGAGAUACAAAGUGUCAUUAGAAAGACUCAAGUGAAGACAGGGAAUAAAGCUCAAGAAAACAAAGUAUGAAGAGUUUUGUUUGCAUACCUUGUUCUAUACUGAAGCUACACAUGGCAUAAAGUAUACUAUAAAGGAUGUACUUCAUCAUUUCCCUCUCUAAUCCAUAACGUGUCAUUUCAAGGUAGUUGGUCAUGGGUUAG